rnacentral:sRNA from 1 species
UGGAUACACUCAUUUCCGUGUUCUGAC